rnacentral:rRNA from 1 species
UACGGAGGGUGCAAGCGUUAUCCGGAAUCACUGGGUUUAAAGGGUGCGUAGGCGGCCUAAUAAGUCAGUCGUGAAAUCGCUGGGCUCAACCCAUGCAAUUGCGAUUGAUACUGUUAGACUUGAAUGGGGUUGAGGCUAGCGGAAUGCGACAUGUAGCGGUGAAAUGCUUAGAUAUGUCGCAGAACACCGAUUGCGAAGGCAGCUAGCUGGGCCUUUAUUGACGCUGAGGCACGAAAGCGUGGGGAGCAAACAGG